CCUACGGGCGGCAGCAGUGAGGAAUAUUGGUCAAUGGGCGCGAGCCUGAACCAGCCAAGUCGCGUGAGGGAAGACGGUCCUAUGGAUUGUAAACCUCUUUUGUCGGGGAGCAAAAGACGCCACGCGUGGCGUUACGAGAGUACCCGCAGAAAAAGCAUCGGCUAACUCCGUGCCAGCAGCCGCGGUAAUACGGAGGAUGCGAUCGUUAUCCGGAUUUAUUGGGUUUAAAGGGUGCGCAGGCGUAUUUUUAAGUCAGUGGGCAAAUCGUGGGGCUCAACCCCAUCCAGCCGUUGAAACUGGGGAUCUAGAGUGGGCGAGAGGUAUGCGGAAUGCGUGGUGUAGCGGUGAAAUGCAUAGAUAUCACGCAGAACCCCGAUUGCGAAGGCAGCAUACCGGUGCACAACUGACGCUCAGGCACGAAAGCGUGGGUAUCGAACAGGAUUAGAUACCCUUGUAGUC
rnacentral:rRNA from 1 species